rnacentral:rRNA from 1 species
UACGAAGGGGGCGAGCGUUGUCCGGAAUUACUGGGCGUAAAGGGCGCGUAGGCGGCCCCUUUUGUCGCGUGUGAAAGCCCCGGGCUCAACCUGGGAACUGCGUCCGAUACUGGAUGGCUCGAGUUUGGGAGAGGGAUGCGGAAUUCCAGGUGUAGCGGUGAAAUGCGUAGAUAUCUGGAGGAACACCGGUGGCGAAGGCGGCAUCCUGGACCAACACUGACACUGAGGAGCGAAAGCCAGGGGAGCAAACGGG